GAGAGUUAAGUUUUAUUUGGGACAAAAUGAAGACUUAAGCCUGGAAGGCAGCACCACAAGAAACCACUUCUAGGAGGGGAGGGUGUUAGCUAAGAUAUACAGGAGUUUUGUAACAGAGGGCAGGUAGUCAGAACAAAAGAGUACUGUUAGUCAAAGAAAACUAGAUAUCUCAAGUUCAAAAAUGUAGUGCUUUUCUGUGUAUGGGAGUAUUGCAAGGGGCUGGGCUCACUGAAAUCCUUCCUUUGAGAAGCAUCUCAGCUCUCUGGAGCAAGUACCGUGUGCUUUUCACAUCCUGAGGGCUCACCAUCACGAAUGACUGCAGUCCGAUGGCUGCGAGAUGGCAGGUAUUCUUUGUUCCUUCCUGAGUUCCCUCAGGGCUCACCAGCUCAGAGGUGGCUGCAAUUGCUGAAGACUGUGACAUCUUUAUUUACUGCUAUAGGAGGCAAUAUUGUAUUUCUCACCAGCAAUUUGUGUUGUCAGGAGUUUUUGUUUUAGCAACUCUUAUCAGUGUGCAGUGAUUUAAUUGUUUUUCAAAUUAACAGAAUUUUAAAUGUAUAUUAUAUAAUGAGUGUAAUUAAAACAAAAUACCAGUGCAUAAAAGGAAGAUAUGUAAAAAUAUGCAAGCAAUUGAAGAAGCUAUAAAAAGAACACCAAAAUUAACUUUUUUUAAUUUAGAAAGCAUAGACAAAAUGAGAAUAGUUUGCAACAGCCCCAGAUUUCUCCCUGAAGGGAACAGCAAGCAGGGUAGUGUAAGGGGAAAUCAUAUACAAAUUUAAACAACAGCUUUACACUGGGAACUAUGUCGGGUCACUUAUGAUGAAUUAUGAUAAUGUGAGAAAAAAGAAUUUAUGCAUGUAUGUGUAACUGGGUCACCAUGCCGUACAGUAGAAAAUUGACAGAACACUGUAAACAAGCUAUAAUGGAAAAAAAAUUAAAAUGACUAUAUAUAUAAAAAAAUAAUAAAAUAACAGCUUUAAUUCUCCCUGUUGAAAACAAGGGAAGAGACUUAGCCUCCCCUUCCUUUUCUUAGAGCAUUUUCUUUAGGAAAGUUGCAAAUUUUUUUUCUCUCUCUCUUUAAAAUGAAUGUAAAUCUUUUUAAACUUUAAAUGGACCCCUUGAAUACUGUAAACCAGCUAUAAUGGAAAAAAAGUAAAAAUCAUUAAAAUAAAUAAAUAAGUAAAUAAAUGGACCUCCUGACAGAUUUACGACCCAGGAAUGUCUUUCUUAAGGACCUGGGAGCCAUCCCAUUGAAAUGCAAUCAUCAAGGAAGAUGGUGCCCUAACACCCCCUUUUUGUGGGAAGGUAGAAGCCUUCAGCAGAUUCCUUGGGCUCCUCACUCCAAACUGCAAAAUACCUUCAGCCACAAAGAUAUGAGAAUUUUGUUUUUCCUUUGGAUGAAGCAAAUUAGCAAACACAGAUGGCCACUCUAAUUAUCAGGUGAAUCUAGGAUAAAUUAUGCGUGGCAAAUGGUGCUUUCAGCUCCUCUAACUUCAGGGCUAGUUACUAUUUAUCUUGAGAACAUGUAUAUAGUGGGUUAUAUCUGCUUGGCUGCAUAAAUACCUAAGAUUCCUGUCUUUGCAGUCUCUUAGCAGAUUGCCACAUGCUUCACAUUUUGUUUUAAUGCUUACUCAGUGACAAAUUGUUUUCUUUCUCUUCUACCUUUGUGGAAAGUCUUCUGGGAUGAGAGGAGGUUUUGUUUUUAAUUAUAUAUCCCCCAACAAAAGCAAAUGCCAUGGACUGUGCACGCAGGUCAGAAAGAAGAAUUUUCCAGAUUCAGAGCAAGAUGAAGAAAAGACAAGUUUAUUGAGGCAAGGAACACUGUUAACACAGUGGGCUGACUUCCUGAUAAUGAAAGAGAGCCAAUCCUGGAGAUAAAGAAUAGUUUAAGAUGAGAGAUGUGGGAGUUUUCAUUGUGCUUAGCAGGUUAUGAAAGCAACUAGUAUCUAUGAGGAUGUGGAUUCAAUCCCUGGCCUCACUCAGUGGGUUAAGGAUCUGGCAUUGUCGUGAGCUGUGGUGUAGGUCACAGAUCAACACUGGAUCCUUAACCCACUGUUUUUUAUUACAGGGGGUCUCAGCCAAAAACUGUAAAGGGUAGAGGGAAAAUUCUUUUUCAACCCCAUGGAAUAAUCACAGAUGAGUUGUGUGACCCAGACACAAAGCAAGUUCUGAGGCCAGGGACCAAACCCAGGCCACAACAGUGACAAUGAUAGAUCCUUAAGUGCUAGGUCACCAGGGAGCGCCUAUGAUCAUUUUUAACGACUGCAUAAUGUUCCAUUAUAUUCUUUAGUCUAUUGCAACCAUGUUUGACCAUCCAUUAAGUUGCUUUUGGUUUUCUGCUAUUGCAAACAAUGUUGAGACAAACCUCUCUGUAUAUUUGUUUAAUUAUUUCCAUCAGACAAAAGUCCAAAGAACAGGGUUUCUGAGUCAAAUGGCAGACAUUUAAGACUUCUGAUGCCAAACUAUUCUCCAAAAGCAAAAUUCCCAACAACAGUUCAACAACAUUAAAGAACACUAGCUUCCCCACACCCUCACCAACACUGGCUGGAAGGUAUAGUUUCAAAGAUGAGUGCUGCGUACUGGUGCUCUUUGCCUCUUUCUCCACUGACAGCCUGGAAUACAGGUGCUUGAUAAAUCAAUCCAGGCUACAGUCUAGUAGACGCUCUGAUCCAAUAUGACUGUUCUGGGUAUCAAAGAACUCUCCUUCUGGUUCACUGCCCUGGAUGCUGGCAUCGUGUAGACCCUAUAAAGGCAGUAGCUCCAAGCACAUUACACAGAAGGCCCUCACUCUAUCAAACCACAGGCCAUCUGCUCCCAGGCCAUCCGUUCAGCCAGGAAGCUCCUGCUCCUGGUCUGUAUAGCCCUCGGAUUCCUGGUGACCCCAGGUAAACUGGAUGAGGGAGAAGACAGAUGGGACUGGGGGCCAGGAACACUAAAUCUUUGCUUGGCUGACAGACAAGCCAGGUUGAAAGCAGGCAGGGCUCAUCUCAAUGGGUUCCAACCUAAAGUUGGAAUCUCCCAACAUCCACCACUGGCCUCAAUACCCCAUACCCAGCCACCACCUUCUACCACCCUGUACAAAAACACAGUUCCUGGAGUUCCUGUUGUUGCUGUUGUAGCUCAGCAGGUUAAGAACCCGACUAGUGUCCCUGAGAUGUGGGUUCGAGCCCUGGCCUCGCUCAGCGGGUUAAGGAUCUGUCACUGCUGUGAGCUGCAGCAUAGGUCACAGAUGGGGCUCAGAUUUGGCAUUGCUGUGGCUGUGGCAGAGGACGGCAGCUGCAGCUCCAAUUCAACCCCUAGCCCGGGAACUUCCGCAUGCUGUGGGUACACCCUAAAAAGACCAAAAAAAAAAAAAAAAAAAAAAAAAAAAAA
rnacentral:lncRNA from 1 species